GGCUAACGCUGGCGGCGCGCCUAACACAUGCAAGUCGAACGAACCUUCGGGUUAGUGGCAGACGGGUGAGUAACGCGUGAGCAAUGUGCCUUUUUCUGGGGAUACCGUUUGGAAACGAACGUUAAUACCGAAUGUGAUGUAGCUGCGGCAUCGUAGUUGCAUUAAACUGUUAGGGAGAAGAGAGCAGCUCGCGUACUAUCAGCUAGAUGGUGGGGUAACGGCCUACCAUGGCGACGACGGUUAACUGGUCUGAGAGGAUGAUCAGUCACACUGGAACUGAGACACGGUCCAGACUCCUACGGGAGGCAGCAGUGAGGAAUCUUGCACAAUGGGCGAAAGCCUGAUGCAGCGACGCCGCGUGAGGGACGACGGCCUUCGGGUUGUAACCUCUGUCAGUGGGGAAGA
rnacentral:rRNA from 1 species